AGACAAAUCUACCUAUCUUCAAGCUGAAGGAGUCCUGUGUACGGCGGCGCUACAGUGACUUUGAGUGGCUAAAAAAUGAGCUGGAGCGAGAUAGUAAGAUUGUAGUACCACCACUACCUGGGAAAGCCUUAAAGCGGCAGCUCCCUUUUCGAGGAGACGAAGGGAUCUUUGAGGAGUCCUUUAUUGAAGAAAGGAGGCAGGGCCUCGAACAGUUUAUUAACAAAAUUGCUGGGCACCCACUGGCUCAGAACGAACGCUGCCUACACAUGUUCCUGCAGGAGGAGGCAAUUGAUAGGAACUACGUCCCCGGGAAGGUGCGCCAGUAGGAGCCCCUCUCACCACUUGCCCUCUACUUUUGAAAUGACAUUGGUUUUUACACUAAGCCUCUCUCUCUCUUUGAUCUGAAGUUGGCUGCCUGUCCCCUGGCCUGAUAAGACUGUCUGGCAUUGUGUUCCUUGGUACCUACCAUACCAUGGGCACUCUGCUAGGAUCCUCUUCUCUGAGGAGAGGUGGGAAACCACACAGGCAGAUGCCCUUUGCUUGGGGUUGGGGGGUGGGUGGGGGGAUUGGACUGGAAGGCAAUUUCUUGGGCAUUUACCCAUGCCAGAAGGCUGACCUUGUGGGGGGCGUGUCUUGUGCUGGUGAGGCACUUGGAUACAUACUGAUGCUGCAAGUCCAGGGGAUUUUUCUUACUCUUAGGUUUAACCAGGAACGCCGAGCAGGGAAACAUCCUGCCUUUCCUACCUGCAUGAACUUUUUCCUUUUGGGGAAGGUGGCAGAGACUCAAAAGCUCUCCUUGUUUUCUCCAGGCCUGAUCCCAGUUAUCGCAACAGUUUCCUUUGUUAUUUUUUCUCUCCCUUGUUGCUUUUCAUGGUAGUAGUGGUAGAGUCAAAGCAGUCAUUUGUGUGGCGCAAUGUGUUUGGGUUUUCUGGGCCCAUCAUGGCUGCUUCAGAGUCAGAAGAAAGCCAUAGGGCAGUAGGGGAGCUCCUGUUGCCUAGCCCCUCUCCUUUGUGGCUCCCCCCUCUGGCUGCCUGUUCUUGCUCACCAGUAGGCGAGUCAUUACCAUAGGCUGAGUCAGCAGUUCUUCCUCCCCAAGCCCUUGCUACUUUAUGGGUUAGCUUUGCAGGUUUGGUGGCUUUAGGGCCGGGGGAAACUCACCACUGCCAGGUAACUCCCUGAGGGGUUGGAGUGGAUCAUUUUCCAGGUACCUCCUGGUGGUAGGGAAGGGCAUCAUCACUCUCUUCCUUCCAUUCUCCCUUCCCCCCAUUCCAUUUAGUGCUGCCACAGGGCAGAAACACAUGAACAAACCACACAGUCUCUGAUUUCUCCUAAGCACUUUGAGCUGUUGAAUGGGGCUUAGGGGCAAGAGUUAUCACUGCCCUCCCCAGCUUGGUCACAGGGUUAUUGAACUGCCUGCACUUGUUUCCCACGGUACUCCAGCAUUCUUCCCGGAAGUUGAGCUAGGGUUUGCAAGCUGGGUAUAGAUUUCCAAAUCUUAGAGUCUGAAGCAAUUUAUCAGGGCUGACGACUUUCCUAGGCUUCUGUCUGGGAGGUAGUGGUUUGUUUGCUGGGGCCCAAUAUCUAUCCCAAAUGGUGGCACGGGAGUAGGUUAACUCUGGUGUCAGGUCAAAAGUGGGGGCUCUUUCCUUAGAAUCCCUAUCAUGGAAGGAUUGGAGUUCUUUAUAUAGGGUCUUGGGGGAAAAGGAUUACUGAUUCUGACAAGACCCUGAUCGGAGAGAUUAGGAUUGAAUUUUGACAUGGGAUUCAGAGGCCAUCUAAAUGUUGAAGUUCCCCGAGGCAGGUCAGCUUUCUAGCUGCUGGGCCUGUGCCAGGGGCUGAAAAGCCCCUUGAGAAAGGCUCUGCUCCCUUUCCCACCUCCCCAAUGUUGGUGUUGUUGCUGCCUUUUUCAUUUGUAUCCUCUGUUACUUUUUUUUUUUUUAAAAAGAUUCCUUCUUUCAUUGUGCACAAGUGCUGAGAGCCUGAGGCCCCAUUUCUGCUGUGUAUAUAUCCUGACUUGGGGCUUUUAUUCAGCAAAAUGUUCAUUCUUCUGUCAGACAAUGUCAUAUUCAACUCUGUUCAUAUUAAACCACUGUGAAGCAAGCCUCUGUUUUCCUGCCUAAGUUGUAAAUUUAGUAUUUUUUUAGUUUCUAGGAUAUUCUGGGUAUUGUGUAGAAAUCAUACAACAUGGUCAGUGUCCUUAGGUCAUAAGUAAGUUUUACAUUUAAAUUUUUUAAAAAACAGAAUCCUAAGUUGCCUGUAGCAAUAUUUACCUGUCCUUCUUGCAGCUUGCAAUUGACUUUGUCACAGAGGUAAUGCAACUGUUUGCAGGAAGUAGCCAUAGGGCUCAGUAACUGUGGUUUAGGUCAGAUUUAGCAGAUUUGGUUUUUAAGCUUGUGGGUUUAUGCUAAUUUGGGCAGAAUAUAUUUAUAGUAUGUGUAUGUGUAUAUAUAUGUAUAUGCAUAUGCUCUGUGUGUACAUAAACACGUGUGUGUGUUCAUCCUAUAACACUCCCCCCCACACAACCCCUACAAACACUAUUCCUUUCAUAGUCUUUUUAACCUUAAUGGAGACUUUUCCUUUCAAAUAGAUUUGAUGCAGGCAGAAAGGUGAAUGAACUCUGAGAACUGUUUUUGUUUUUGUUUUGGUCUUUUUGAGGACCGCUCCCGUGGCAUAUGGAGGUUCCCAGGCUAGGGGUCUAAUCGGAGCUGUUGCCUCCGGCCACAGCCACAGCCACAGCCACAGCAAUGCCAGAUCCGAGCCGCGUCUGCGACCUGCACCACAGCUCGCGGCAAUGCUGGAUCCUUAACCCGCUGAGCCGGGCCAGGGAUCAAACCCGUGUUCUCAUGGAUGCCAGUCAGAUUCAUUUCUGCUGACCCACCAUGGGAACUCCCAAAGCUAGUUUUAAUCAUGUAGUUGAGCAUGGAAAGAAGGUAUAGAAAGUGAUGUCAAAACAUUACGAAUUAAGGUGACAUAAUGAUAUUUGGGUCUGUGUAGAAGAGUGGGAGCGGAAUUGAAGAAGUUAAGAGAUUUUGGUAGUUCAGGAGUUAGAUGACUAAAGAUAUCUGAGGGGACAGGGAAGAAUAGCUAUUUCUGUGAGAUAGGAGAAAGGAAGAGUAAUGAUAGAAAUGUAACCUUCACAGGCAGCAGGGUUGGAAAAUGAAUUAGAGAAUAAUUAGAAAAGGCAGCUAUAGAAUAAAAUAGUAACAAAACUUUGGACAGAUAACAUCGUUUGACAGGUAUUAAUUAGUAGCUGCCUGUAUGUCUAGCCUUAUGCUAAAAGCUGGGCUGUGAUGGAGUGGAGUGCUUGUGGUACAAAUAAAAUGAUUAUAUUCUUUUUCUUCAUAGACCUUAUUAUUUCUUAUACUUUGGUUCAGGAGAUAGUUAUAGAAGACAAAAACAUGCCAGAGAUAAAAUAAAAGGUCCAGGCACAUCUAGUUAUUUGUCCAGCUUUAAAAAAAAAAUAAUCAGAUCAGGUUUUCUUUGGAGUCAAAUGUAACUGGGUCCCAAAAAGAACCCCAGAUCCAAGCCCAUCAACACCAAGGAGAAAGGGAAGCAUACUUUUAUAAGGAAUUCAAGUUUAUGCAUGCAUGUAGGUAUUUACUACUAAUUAACACCCUUUAUUCAUAGCUCAACCUUAACACUGGAACUUGGGGGAUGGAGGCUAAACAAAUUUUUGAACAUAGUAGCUAGAUCCAAAAGAAGUCUAAAUCUUCACAUUCCAAAGGUGCCUUAAUGACCCUUUGAACCCUUCUUUGAGGUGAGUUGAGCUAGUAUAGAGUGAGAGAGGUGCACACUUCAGGCUUCUGUGGAGCUUGUGUUUGAUGAGGUAUCCUAGGUAAGACACUUCUGUCUUCAAAUACAUGCUGUAAUAAUUUAAGUAAAUUUUUUUUUUUUUUGCUGUGGAAAUGCAGACCAGUUGCUCACUGAAAUGGAUAUUUCUUGCUAUCCUUGAGGACUAUUGAGUCACCCUUGGUCUUCUCUUCUUAAACACAUAACAGGUCUAAUUUUUCCUCACUUGGCUCAUUUUUAACCCUUUUAUCUUUAUUACUCUGAAAUCUUUCCAAGGUCCUUAUGUGUCCCUAAGUCAUAGAGUCUAAAACUGGACACCACUUUAAUUAUAGCCUGACGUUUAGGUGGUUGUUAGUCCAUUUAUACAUUGCAGUAUUCAAGUUUACUUUUAAAAUAUAAACACUUUGUGACUAAUUUAGCUUGUGGUUCUCUGCCACUCCCUUCCCGACCACCCACCACACCUCAUUCUUCUUAUCUUUUUUAUUUUUGGCUUGUACAAAAAAAAUUGUUCCCUAUUUUAUUUUCUCCCUUCUCUCUCUCUCCUUUUGAGAACAGAAAACUCAUUCCUUAUAAAAUGGACAAACUGGGGUAAUUAUUAACAUUGUACAGAAUAAAGGAAUUUUUAAGUCAUGGCAAGCUUUCUUUAAAUAGGUGCUUCCUAUGGUGGUUUUAAGUGUUUGUAUAUAGAUCAUCCAACUACUUGAUAAAGAGAAACUGAAGGUAAAGGAUUAAGAGGCACUGCCAAUUGGAGGUCACUCAGGAAUUGGAUAAAACAGUAAUUCUUAAAUGAACAAUAAAAAACAAAUUCACAGAAAGUUAUGUGUACUUUUUAAGAAACUGUUAUUUAUUAUACCAAUAUAUUUUUUUCUGUCCAUAUAAGUCAACUUUUUUGAUCAUUUGUGCUAGUGGAGGGAUAUACAUUUUUAUUUUGUUACGUAUUUUUGUUCUAAAAUUUAAAUAUAGGCAUGUCUAAUAUUCAUAAGGCUUAAAAAAUAUUUCCUCAUAUGUAGUCAGAAUGAAGACUCAGGAAGAUCUGAAAAGUAGUAGAAAGAGUACUAGGCUUGGAAUAGAAACCUGGGUUCUGGAGUUUACUGUGCUAUUGGCUGGCUCUAGUACCUUAGGCGAAUUGCUUCACCACAUUGGGCCUAUUUUUUCAGCUAUAAAAUGAGGGAUUUGACUAAAUACAUUAGGUAUCUUAAAUCUAUAAUGUUUAUUUUUUAUUUUUAUUUUUUUGGCUGCACACACCACAUAUGUAAGUUUCUGGGCCAGGGAUGGAAUCUGUGCCACAGCAGCCACCCUCGCUGCAGCAGUGACAACACAGGACCCUUAACCCACUGUGCCACAAGGGAACUCCCAAAUCUCUAAUGUUUAUGAUUUCUAACCCUUGCCAAGGAGUUGAGAAACCCUGGAGGUGAUGCCACCAAAAAGGUGAAAGCACAGUUUUCCCCCUGUGAUGGAGUUUGCUAUUGUGCAGUUAGUGUUCUCUCCUAGAAAUGAAUGACUCUUCACUUACCCUGAUUAGAUUUUGUUUGCCCACAUCUUGUUGUGUCACGUCAUGGGUACUCCACUGAAUCUCAGCAUUGAAGUGUUGAUUUGAUUUAUAGUUGCUCUAAUUUUAUUGUAGAGCUUUCCACAUGAAAUUUUUAAAUGAAAUAGUCACCUCAUAACUAUAUGGAACUAUUUAAAAUAUAUAAAUUAUAACUGUUGACCUGAUUACAAAAGUGCCCAUUUUGUUGAAAUGUUUUAUUGUGGUGAUAAAAGUUCAAAAGUAAUGCUAGUUAACAAAAUUCAAACAAAACAAAAAUGUGUAAAAAGUGAGAUUCUCCUUAGUCCCUCUCCCUACCCCCAUUCCUCAAGAAUAACUUAAUUUGGUAUGU
ensembl:lncRNA